UUGUUAGAACUUCCCAGCAUUUAUUCCUCAUUCUUUGAAUAUCUUCCUUGUAAUUUUUCUCUGGGACACUAGGAGGAAAUUAAUGCACAAAAAGCCAACAGACUUUUGUUAGGUCACACUACUAGUGGCUGUCAAGGUCAAGAAAUGAACCUAAAUCAUAGCGCAUUUAGUCUCAUCUUCCUUUCCCCUUCCUAAAAAUAGAAUAUAUAAUUUGUAGUCCUUUACCUUUUAUGAUUUUUUCCCUGAAGACAUUAAUAUCUCAAUUUAUUUGAGUCAAUAACUUAAUCAUCUCAAUGGCAAACUGAAAGAUAAAUGGAGAAGCUGGAGAAAGAUACAUAAAGAGGUGAACUUGUAAAUGGCAUGAUCUGCACCAUAUAGUGAAAAUUCAUCUAAGACUUCUCAGUAGGAUUCUGUAGACCAUUCCCUGAUACAUGUAGUAAGGAGAAUAGAGAGGGAGGUAUUUUGUUUUGCUUUGCUUUUUGGAGGUGCAGUGGAAAGGACCCAUUGGAUAGGAAAGAUGAGCACAAUGUACUCACAUUUCACAAAGGGCAUUUUAUAAUGAAUUUGGAUAGGUCCCAACACAAGAGAAUAGAAGAAGAAUAGUAUUGAGAUGAAGGGAUCCUGCAGUGGCCAAACAGAAUCAGAACUUGACUUGACUUGUCAAGAUAAAUACUUGAUAUAACUUGCAUGUUUGUCCAGAACUCAUUAAAAUGUUGAUUUAAACAUUAACACUUUCUCAAAGCAAUACAGUUGGUGCUUAAAACUCUACACUAACAAAUUUUUCUUUAUGCUUUCUUGAAAUCUAGUUUUUCUGUGUGUUCUAUAGAAUGAUAGUAAUCACAAGAAAAGCUCCCAUGGUAGUGAAAGUUUCUCCAUACUAAUAAAGAGGCUAGGGAAGCCCAAGGAUGCCACAGAUAACAUCACAAGAACUAGAGGGCAAUGGAGAUGAAUUUAGUGGCUAAAACAUUAAUUUGAGCUACAGAUUAAGUAUAAGAAAAUAAUUUGUAUAAAUUUAUUUUUUCUGUUUG
rnacentral:lncRNA from 1 species